UACGUAGGUGACCAGCGUUGUCCGGAUUUACUGGGCGUAAAGAGCGCGCAGGCGGUCGUUUAAGUCGAGUGUGAAAGCCCCCGGCUCAACUGGGGAGGGGCAUUCGAUACUGAUCGACUGGAAGGCAGGAGAGGGAAGCGGAAUUCCCGGUGUAGUGGUGAAAUGCGUAGAUAUCGGGAGGAACACCAGUGGCGAAGGCGGCUUCCUGGCCUGUUCUUGACGCUGAGGCGCGAAAGCUAGGGGAGCAAACGGG
rnacentral:rRNA from 1 species